UACGUAGGGGCAAGCGUUGUUCGGAAUUACUGGGCGUAAAGGGCUCGUAGGUGGCCAACUAAGUCAGACGUGAAAUCCCUCAGCUUAACUGGGGAACUGCGUCUGAUACUGGAUGGCUUGAGUUUGGGAGAGGGAUGCGGAAUUCCAGGUGUAGCGGUGAAAUGCGUAGAUAUCUGGAGGAACACCGGUGGCGAAGGCGGCAUCCUGGACCAACACUGACGCUCAUGCACGAAAGCGUGGGGAGCAAACAGG
rnacentral:rRNA from 1 species